UGUACCAUGACCCCCAGGUGCCGCGCCUCAACCCCUCUCCCUCCACUUUUCCCAACCCACGGAAUGAGUCGCCCCAUUCCUCCUCGCUGUUCUGGUGCCCUCGGUUUAGCUCCUAGAGGGCCGGAGCAUCCCCUCCCCGAGCUCCAGUGCCGUCUUCCCCUUCUUCCAUGGCGGCCUGGGCGCGAGGUAGGAGACGACCGGGGCACCGUUUGCCCCGGCACGUUCCGCCCCUCCUCUCAUAACCGCCAGGCGGGCACCACCCGAGGGGUGACGGCGUCACCUCCACCGGCGCCACCCCGCCUCCCGGUUCCCUGGGCGCGGUCCACCUGAACCGGUGGCCCAGCAGGCCACUCAGUCCACCGGCCCAGGGAGCCAGCGCACGGCACAGUACGAGCCACGCCCUUCACCCUUGCGCCAACAGCUACAAAAAUGCUACAGCCACCCGGUAAGUGUACACACCAAAUCUAUUUAGCCCUUCUACCUUUCCAAAACUUCCCCAAAAACCCACCAAAAAUACUAGAAAAUAUUUAUAAACCUAUCCAUGUAUUCAUUUCCCAUUUUUCACCUCAUACAAGCCCUUUCUACAUAAAGUCUCCUCCCACAUAAAUAGAAAACCCCUUUAAACGCACCUAGAAAUUCGCAUCUUGCCCAUUUCAAUUCCAAAAGCCCUAGGAAAAUUCCUAAAAAUAUCUUAGUGCCACCUACUCUUAUUUCCAUGGUCACUUUGCCCGGGCUCCGCCUCAGUGGCCGAAGUGAGUCUGUCGAGUAAGUUUUGGCCUCGAUUCUCCAUGCGCCUUAUCUUGCCCGAGCUCCACCCUUGCGGUCAAAGUGAGUUCGUCGUGCAAACUCUCUGGCUUCCACUUGAUCUUGCUCGACAACGUCUAUUGCCUUGUGUACUAUCCCCUAGUAUUAGGACAAACCAACUAUCACACAAGCUCACAAGUUCCACCCCUAGAUAAGGAAACUUGUCCAGCUCCACCCACCGUAGGGUCGAAGCCGAGCUUGUCGUACAAGUUUCCUAAAAUCCACUCCCACCACCAAAUAUCUAAUCUUACCCAAAGCCUACUCCAAAACCCAGUCGGGAUGCUGCCCAACUAAAACCCUAAUCCUUAGCCCCUUCUAGUCGUAGUGCUACCCAUCCAAAAUCUCAAAUUAUUCCAAAACCUAGCUAUUGUGAUGCCCAAUACAAACCACACAUAUCAACCCAAUGUAGCUGAUAUGCCGCCCAACCAAAACCCAAGAUAGUAGUAAAACCUAGCCAUCAUGCCACCCAUCCAGAACCCUAAAAAAAUCCAUUCUUAAUUCUUUAAGAAAUUCAACAAUUCCAUCCAUUAAUUAUUUAGAAACUCAUUUCUAAAUAAUUAAUAAACCAUUCAUCUUUUAUCCGGAGAUUAUCCUUUAGAAAUCCGAUAAUUCCUAAAACCACCAUCAACCAUCCUUUUCCAUUUUCUUUUGUCAUAUAUUGAUUGCUAGAUAUUGAUUCUAGUAUUGUUUGCUUGUUUUCAUGCUUGUUUGAGCCGAGGAUACACCGAUCAGAAGCCAAGGAUUCAGAAGAUAUGAAGCCAAAGUUCCGGCCGUCUAGAAAAUGCGUAGAUAUGUUAGGCCUGGCUAGGCUCCAACUCCGUCGAGAAGAUCUGGACUCCAGAAGUUUCAAUAGAAGCUCCAACGACUCCAACGAGAAGCCAGGGCCCUGGUCAACCUAGGAAAAGGCACUAAGGAUUUUUAAUGAAGGCAAGAUCUAGCAUCCACCCCUUGAUCAUACUUUUGCCCUAUUUUGUUUCAUAGAUAAUAAAAUUUACUAAGAUAAUAAUUUAGACUCAUCACAUUUCUAUAGGAACCUAAGGGCAACCCAUCUCUAUUUCCCCUUCCACCUUGACUUGAAGCCGUUUCUAACCAAAAAUUCCAUAAAUGACCCCGAACACAACUUCAUCGAUGAUCGAGCAUCAUUUUAGUAGAAAUUUCUUAGAAAAGAUCAUAUACAAUGUUUUCUUUUGAAAAAACCCAAAAAAUGUGAGUUUAAUAAAAUGAACUAACUAAAGAGUUAGAAACCCCUAAUGACAGGAUAAGAAAGUAAGGGGGUAGCCUCGCCAAAGCAUCUUGUCCCAAAAGCUUACUUCAGUCGUAUAAGGACUAGCUCACAUGAAAGUCUUUCUAGUGAAACGUGCAACCAUACGUGCCAAAAAGGUACAACCUUUGGGAGUGCCUGCUUAUGUGAGAUCUUGGUUCACACCCCGCUAGCUGAACCUAGAAAUCCAUCCCAAGGGGCCACGGUGCGCAACAGAUAUACUGGAGCAGGACCUUCACAUAGUCACAGGUCUGGUCGGCACGGGUUGAUUGAGAGGGUCGGAGACCCUAUGGGCAGAGGCCCUGUUUAUUUUGUGCACAUUUUCCUAAGUUGAUAUCCGCGUAGCGGGUGAUAGUCACCCCUAUUUAGACCCCAAUAUGUCCGUGGAUGGACCUAGGGAAUGCGCCUAGAAAUAGGCACGGGCGGGUAUGGAUCUCGUAGGUCAAUACCGCCUACCGAAAGGUAUGGGCUGACUGGACGUAUGGGUAAAGUGUACAAACUCUGCAGAGUCAUAAAUCUAUCUGGAUAGCUGAGGCUCACGGUCACAAGCCCACAUAGUUAAAGUUCCCAUCGAUUAGCAAUCAUAACUUGAAUGUGGUGAGUUAGGGCUGAGUUCGUAAAAGAGUAGUUGAGAAUGAGGCGUAUGGUGGCUCAGGGGGACCUAAUGGUCCCUGAGCUCCUUAAAAUUUGGGAAUUAGUAGGGAAGGUAACAUUCCCCUCCAAGGCCAACAACAUAAUAAAUAUGCUUUCUUUCUCCUCCUUUUUCAGAACUCCCCUCACCUUGCAUAAAAUAGGUUUAUUGAAAAAUCACACCUCAUUCCCUUCCCUUGAUCAAUCCUGCAUUUAAUAUAAUUUCAACGUUAGGAUUUGCUGAGUACCAACCAUAAGUGUACUCAGCCUUACUUUCAUUUAUACAAAUCUAAGGUUCCCGGUGCUAUAGCUCAUUUUGCCAGUGGAAUGGGCGCCAGCUCCGCUCUCUGCUACACAUAGGUGAAAUUUGUUUUCCAUUAUUUUUAUACGUCCUUUAUUGUUUGUGAUACUAAUCUAUGAUGAGAACCGGAUUAGCUACUGAUCCAGGACCUCAUGCAGGUAAUCAACGAGACCUUUAGAAUAAGGCCCCCACAAGGCAGCACCACUUUGUGUAGUAGAUGCAUAUUCUUGUGAAUCUAGAUCCUAAGGAGGGAACGCUAAUCUAUUUUUGUUGCUAUCCUGUAUCAAUCUCUGAUGUUUAGAUUAGUCUAUGUCUACACAUAUUUGUAAGCUCGGUUUUGUUAGGAAGAUUAGUAUAAAGUGAAAGCAUGCAUUCCACUUGUUCCGCAUACUGAUGAACCUUGAGGAAAUACUCUAAAGGAAAAGCUACAACUGAUCCGUGCGCUUGCGGUUCUUGAUUUGGCGCGCUAACCAUCGCUAACAAGUUUUCAUGCGCUGUUGCUGGGGAACAAGUCAGUUUGCUGUGUUUGAUAUUGGUAUUAAUUUUGCUAACCCACUAAUACUUAACUCUUGUGUAGAUUUUUUUUGUUUUUAUUUUUCUUUUUAGUGCCUAGAUGGUUCUAUUUGUCCCACAAAUGGAUAACGAAGAAAUGUCUCUAUGGGAACUAGCAAUGCCAUCAUCAGGGGACUUUGAGAUGCAAAAAUCAGAUUUGGCUCUUGCUACGACCCACUACAAUGAAGCAUGGAAUCAUUAAGUUGGUCGCAACAAACCCCUUUAGAAGAUUGGAGGACGACAACCCAUAUAGACAUCUUCAGCACUUCACGAUGAUAUGCAACACGGUGCAAAAAGAAGAAGUUAUGACCGCUUGGUUCAAGUGGAAUCUGUUUCCAUUUUCUCUUGUAGGUGAAGCGCGAAGAUGGUACACACUUGUUUCUGUUGAAGUGAAGGGAAAUUGGGAUGAGCUCAUGAUGAAAUUCUGCUAUAUUUUCCCAUGAGGAAGGUUUCAAGAGUUAAGGAAGUUAGUGAUUUGUUUUAACCAAGGAGAAGACGAUGAAGGGAGUGACGAAGCUUGGAAUUGGUUUAAUGGACUACUCGAACAAGAAUAUGUAAGAAUAUGUGCAGGAGGUGAUUUAAUGGAGAAGACGCUUAAAGAAGCUGCACGUAUCUUAUAAAGGAUAAGUAAUGGGGAAGCAGUGGCUCAAGGCUGGCAGAAACGCUUUCGGAAGGAGCGUAGCGACAAAAAGAAGCUUUGGUAGGUGGAUAUGGAAAUUCUAGAAGAGAUCUGUAUAGCAUGAUUUUUGGGACAUAGGCUGAAUUCCUUCAUUCAAAAAGAGAAUUUUGAUCGACUCUCGUUCCCACCUCCUCUGGUCACAUACUCAGUCCUUCAGAUAUACAGCUAUAAAUGCUCCCUACUUCAUUGCAUCAUUUCACUGAUCGGUGUUGUUCACGGUGGAGAUAAAUGUAACCGAAACUAGAGUUAUGUUUCAAUAAUUUCUAUUCGUUCCAGGAUGUUUCUUGUAA